CAGCCGCGUAAUUCCAGCUCCAAUAGCGUAUAUUAAAGUUGUUGCAGUUAAAAAGCUCGUAGUUGAAUUUUAGGCCUGACCGGACGGUCCGUCUCUGGCGAGUACUGUUCUGUUGUCGGGUCUAUCCUUCUGGUGAGCCGGUAUGCCCUUUAUUGGGUGUGUCGGGGAACCAGGACCAUUACCUUGAAAAAAUUAGAGUGUUUAAAGCGGGCUUUUGCUUGAAUAGAUUAGCAUGGAAUAAUAGAAUAGGACGUUGGUUCUAUUUUGUUGGUCUAGGACCACCGUAAUGAUUAAUAGGGAUAGUUGGGGGCAUUAGUAUUCAAUUGUCAGAGGUGAAAUUCUUGGAUUUAUUGAAGACUAACUACUGCGAAAGCAUUUGCCAAGGAUGUUUUCAUUAAUCAAGAACGAAAGUUAGGGGAUCGAAGACGAUCAGAUACCGUCGUAGUCUUAACAAUAAACUAUGCCGACUAGGAAUCGGGCGACGUUAUUCUCAUGACUCGCUCGGCGCCUUAUG
rnacentral:rRNA from 1 species